AGCACUUAUGAGUAUCUUUGUUUAAUUUAUAACAAAUCCUUACAGAGUGAUGCAAACAUUAAAUCCUCUUUUGCAACCCAGAAUAUUGUUGAGUAUGAAUGUUAGCACAUGUAAGAAAUAAUAUG